UAGGGAAUCUUCCACAAUGGACGAAAGUCUGAUGGAGCAACGCCGCGUGAACGAUGAAGGCCUUCGGGUCGUAAAGUUCUGUUGUAAGGGAAGCGGUACCUUGCGAGAAAGCCACGGCUAACUACGUGCCAGCAGCCGCGGUAAUACGUAGGUGGCAAGCGUUGUCCGGAAUUAUUGGGCGUAAAGCGCGCGCAGGCGGCCUCUUAAGUCUGAUGUGAAGGCCCCGGCUCAACCGGGGAGGGCAUUGGAAACUGGGAGGCUUGAGUAUAGGAGAGAAGAGUGGAAUUCCACGUGUAGCGGUGAAAUGCGUAGAGAUGUGGAGGAACACCAGUGGCGAAGGCGACUCUUGGCCUAUAACUGACGCUGAGGCGCGAAAGCGUGGGGAGCAAACAGGAUUAGAUACCCUAGUAGU
rnacentral:rRNA from 1 species